GGGCCAGGGCCCGCCUCCAGGGGGCGGUGUGCGCCCCCGGCGCUGGAGCAGCCGCGUUUCGGGGACCCGGGCAGGCGUGGGGGGCUGCGCUGAGCUCCAGGCCUCCUGCAGGACGGAACAUGCUGCUGGUUUUUCCAUGUCUCGGUCUCCUUCUGCUGAGUAUUCUUCUAUUUCAAUCAUGGGUGUAGCAGCCCAUUUCAACAUACUGAAAACACUCACCCUAGGGCUUUCAAGUCCCUGCUGUGGACAAUCUGCAUGUGACAGCUGAGACAGGAGGAAGAGGCCCAAGGGAACGCAUUCCUGCUAGGACAGAGCUGGCUGGCUGCACAGUGGAGAGUGUUUGCUGGAAGCUGCUACCAGCCAUGGGGCACCUACCCGCCCAGCGGCCCUUGCAUCCAGAUGCAGAGCCCUGGACAAAGGACGGAGCUGUGAAAACAGUGCCUGGAGGAUCUGAUCCCUUCUAGCAAGGCCAAGAGACACGGCUGGGCUGGGGAGGACGGGGUCUCCAGGCCUCACCAUGGCCACUUAUCUAGACGCCAGCAUCAAAAGGUUCAAAGCCCAGGUCACAGGCUCAUGAAAAAAUUAAGCAGGUAUCAAAAAAUAUCACAAAGGCAACAGUUUUAUGACAUGAAAACAUCUAUCAGAGACAAUAUAAACCUGUCUGCUAAUAGAACCAGGUAAAACUGUCUAAAUUAAAUUCCGAAGAAAUUUCAAUUUUAUUUUACUAAUGAUUUUAAAAACUAGCUUUAUUUACCCAACAUGACUAAAGUCCCAUUGACCUGAAAAGCAUUUGGGCUUAUUUACUUAAUUUAUGAGUACUCCUUUAUUUAUAAGUCUAUUCAGUACCAUGUAGACAAUGUUCAAACACAGACAUAUGCACGCAUACAUAAAAAUACAAAUGAACACAAAAAAAUAAAGACUACAUGCUUUUAUUUUUAAAAUUUUAGCCAUGAGACUGGUAAAAUUCACUAGUUUAAAAGGACAGUUGUAUUAAAUUGUGUCUCUGUAAAUGGAACAAUUUAAAAUGUAUCUGUCCUACAUGGUUGAAGUCCUUACCUUACAGAGUUUUAGAGAAAGCAGGGUAGCAAAUUUACAUCUCAAAGCACAGAGAGAAUUUUAGCUUUCUCAAGGAGGAGUUUGAGUGUGUUAGAGCAAGAUUAAAAAUGGAUUUCAAGGUAACAAAAAGUUAUAGAAAUCCACCACAGGAUGUUUUUCAUUUUGUUUUUGGAGGCAGGGUCUCACUCUGUCGCUGAGGCUGGAGCGCAAUGGCGCAAUCAUGGCUCACUGAAGUCUCGACCUGGGUUCAAGCAAUCCCUUUGCCUGAACCUCCUGAGUAGCUGCUACUAUAGGCACACGUCAUCAACCUGGCUAAUUUAAAAAUAUAUAUAUAUUUAUAUAUAAAAUAUAAAAUAUAUUCUAAUAUAUUUAUAAUAUUUUAUAUAUUUAUAAU
rnacentral:lncRNA from 10 species